UACAGAGGUCCCAAACGUUGUUCGGAUUCACUGGGCGUAAAGGGCACGUAGGCGGCUCGGCAAAUCGGUCGUGGAAUCCCGACGCUUACCGUCGGAACGGCGGCCGAAAAUACCGGGCUCGAGGGCGUGAGGGGUCACUGGAACUCCUGGUGAAGCGGUGAAAUGCGUAGAUAUCAGGAGGAACGCCGGUGGCGAAGGCGGGUCUCUGGGCAACAACUGACGCUGAGGAGCGAAAGCGUGGGGAGCGAACAGG
rnacentral:rRNA from 1 species